rnacentral:tRNA from 1 species
GGGAUUGUGGCUCAGCGGUAGAGCACUCGCCUCACAUGUGAGAUCCUGGGUUUGAUCCUCAACACCA